AGAAGUGUAUCAUGAGUAUUAUUACGUAGUGCCUUCCUAAGAUUCCUUGGAAGGGAAACGUAAGGCUAAGCAACUGAUGUCAGUGCAGUUACUGUCCGCCAACUAAGGUCCCCUCCGUACUCCAGACUAGAUUGACAGUGCCUUAUGGGAAAACCAAUGUCAAGUGCAAUUGAGAGAACAAAAAUGAGAAUUGAGAAUGAAAGAAAGCUUGAUUUCAUUAAUGAAAGAUAUUACAGAAAAGCAACAUGGUGUCAAGGGGGAGAGACACCAGUACAGAGAAUUGUUUGCUUGCUAGAAAGUUUGAUUGCUUGAUUCCCCUUAAUAAUGCUUAAAAAAAUAAACCAAAGCUACAAGACUAGACUUGAUUAAGCUAGAGAAACAUAAUGGAAGUACAUGGAAUAAAACUACUUUAUAUUUACAAUGAAAAGGACUUAGUUUUUUACAAGACAGAAACAUGUCCGUUAUCAACAACAUUGUCUUUGUCAUUAGGGUCUGCGCACGCGACGUUGUCUACGUCAGUAGCGCUAUUGGCAUCUGCCUGUGGCUGGGCACUGGCGAGGGAUAUCGGUGGGGAGACAGAGGUACAUGCGCGCUUGUCACUUGGCGCGGCCAAGACCACGGGGCCAUCCGUGGUGCUAGACAUUGGGAGGCUUGCUAGGACACCACGAGGCUCGUCCAAGGGGUCAUGGGGCAUGGCUGGAAAACCGCCCAUGCCAUUAUCCCCCACCUGAGUAGGCGACGUCCUCGGUGCCUUACUUGCAAGAUAAUCUUCAAUUAGGCUCUUUUAGGCUUUGAGGUUUGUUACCCUCUCCCAAGUAUUCUCCUCUCCAUCACAGCCCUGCCAUUUCACCAUGAACUCUUGGUAAUCUUUCCUCUAGGCAUGAAUCACUCUAUCAUCAAGGAUAGCUUCAACAUGCCUUUUCCUGGUUGAAUUAGGACAUCGAAUAUUGGGUAUUGUGAGCUGGCUCCAUGAAGGAUCCUCCGUGUCUUCCCGAAAAGGUUUCAGGAGGCUGACAUAGAAGACAUGAUGAAUUUUCCACCAAGCUGGGGUAUCCACCUAAUAUGCGACUUUCCCAAUGCGCCUUUCAAUGGACAAGGGUCCAACGUAUUUUUGCAAUAGACGAGGGUCAUGGACCCCUGCAAAUAAGUACCGCUUUGGAAUUUUGACCAUCACUUUGUCUCCUUCUUGGUAUUCAACAAAGCAAUGAUUUUGAUCAGCAUGCCUCUUCAUCUGCUUUUGGGCUUUGAAGAGAUAGCUCCGCACUAUCUCCAAAUUUUGCUUCCCUUCUUUUGAGAAGCUAGCAGCUCGAGGAGAUUUUGACAUGUUUGAUGCAUUCACGGUGUGUGAGAGUAGCAGUUGAUGUCCGGUAACAAUUUCAAAAGCGCUUUUGUUUGUACUAGGGCUCUUUUGUGAAUUAAAACACAGUUGAGCAACAUCCAGAAGCUUCACCCAAUUCUUCUGCGAUCCAGUUACAAAGUGGCGGAGAUAUUCCUCCAACAUACCAUUGAACCGCACCAUUUGGCCAUCAGAUUGCGGACGAAAACUUGAGAUGUGACUCAAUUUUGACCCAAGGCACUUAAAGAGUUGGGUCCAAAAGUUGCUAGUGUAGCGUGAGUCGCGAUCACUAACAAUGUCUUUGGGCAUGCCCCAAUAUUUGACGACAUGAGAGAAGAAGAGUCGAACUGCAUCUUCUGUUGAUAUAUAUUGUAGGGCUGCUAUAAAGGUAGCAUACUUGGAAAACCGAUCCACCAAAACCAAGAUAGUUGUGAGAUCUCCGACCUUGGGCAAUCCGGUGAUGAAAUCUAGGGAAAUGCUUUCCCAAGGUCUCUUUGGGAUAGCUAGUGGUUCCAAGAGUCCCACUUAUGUCAAGCGGCCCGACUUGUCCUUCUGGCAUACUAGACAAGUCUUCAUAUACUAAGCAACGUCAUCGGCCAUUUGGGGCCAAUAUUAUACAUGGCGAAGUAACACCAUGGUGCGUUCUUCACCGGGAUGGAUGGCCCACAAAGUAUCAUGGCAUUCCACCAGAAGAGUCCUUCGCAGGUCUCCUCCUUUAGGAACAUAAAGUUGGUUCCCUUUCACAUUCAAAACACCAUCUUCCAUGUAGAACUGGCGAGUCUUGCCCUAUCCUACCAAAUCAACCAAAUAUUGUGCAAUAGGAUCCUUGAUGAGUAGAUACUGUAUCUGGUCCUUGAUGGAGGUGUCUACUUUGCUCCCCUUGAGGGUGGCGAGUAGGCACACUGAUGCUAGAUUAGCUCUUCAACUAAGCGCAUCAGCAACAUGAUUGGUCUUCUCACUUUGGUACUCCAAGUUGAAGUGGAAUCAACUAGGAAUUCCUGCCACCUAGCCUGUCGACCAUUCAACUUCGGCUGGGUCAUGAAAUGGCUAACGGAUGUGUUAUCUGUCUUGACCAUGAACGAGGUCCCCAGCAGAUAGUGCCUCCAAAGGCGCAAGCAGUGGACGACAACCAAUAAUGCUUUCUUAUGGGCGGCAUAGCACCGCUAUGCAUCCUUUAGCUUUUGGCUCUCGUACACUACAAGAUGCCCUUCCUGUAGCAAGACUCCACCGAGGGCAUAGUCGGAUGCAUCCGUUUGUAGCUAUAAUAGCUUGGCCAAAUCAGGGAGGUCCAAGACAAGGCUAUUAGACAUAGCCGCUUUUAAUGCAUUGAAGGGCUCCGCUCGCCUGGGUCCCCAAUCCCAGGGUGUGACCUUCUUGAGGAGUUCUGUCAAUGGAACCGUGAUGAGGGAGUAAUUUUUCACAAAUUUCUGGUAGAAAUUGCAUAGGCCAAGGAACGCCCUCAAGGCAUGGAUAUCCUUAGGCGGUGGCCAAUCUGUGAUUGCCUGAAUCUUCUGUUGGUCCAUCUUGAUCGGCCUUCCUUGGUGAGAUGUCCGAGGAAGUCAAUUUGCUUUUGAGCAAAGGAGCACUUGGAUAGCUUCGCAUAUAGUUCGUGCUCCCGCAAUCGAGCUAGGACCUUUCGCAAGUGCAGCAGGUGUUCUUCCAAUGUUUGGCUAUAUACCACAAUGUAAUCCAAGUAGACCAACAAGAAUUCAUCAAUGUACUCUCGAAAGACUUGGUUCAUCAGGGUGCAAAAUGUAGCUGAGGCAUUAGUCAAACCGAAUGACAUAACCAGGAUGUCGUACGACCCAUAUCUUAUCACGCAGGUCAUCUUGUGUUCAUCACCCUCUGCAAUCCGAACUUGCCAAUAGCCUGUCUUUAGGUCUAUCUUGGUGAACAAUGUCGCACCACCCAGUCUAUCGAACAAGUCUGCCAUUAGUGGAAUAGGGUACUUAUUCUUCGCUGUGAUUUCGUUUAGAGCCCGAUAAUCCAUACAGAGUCGCAGGCUUCCAUCAUGUUUCUUUUGGAAUAGAACAUGGGGCCCAUAUGGGGACUUGGAGGACACAAUGAUCCUUGUAUCUAGAAUUUUCAUCAAUUGUCUCCGAAGCUUGGUGAGUUAGGGUUGUGACAUUCUGUAAGGCGCCAGGCGGGUGACUUCACGCCCGGCACCAACUCAAUUUCAUGGUCCACAGUGCGCCUAGGCGGGAGUCGCUUCGGCAUGUCUUAUGGAAUGACAUCUUUAAAUUCCAGUAGUAACUCCUUCACGGGUUCAGGAAUGGGACCCGAGGAGCGUUCUAUAUCUUCAAUGCAGAGGGUUACCAGGAAUGUAGGUUCAUGUCUUUUGACCCCCCUUCUUCAGCUGCAAUGCCGAGAUGUUCUCAACGACCAUCUUUAUGGGCAUGCACGGGAUAAUGCAGGGCUUGGCCCCAUUUGUUCCCAUCAUCAGUAUCAUGUCUGCAUAUGGUACGGGCAUGGUGUUGGUUUUCCUUAGGAAUUCCAACCCAACUAUCAACUCAAAGUCAUCUAUGAUCACCACUCGUAGGUUGCAUUUUCCUUCAUAAGGGUCAAGCUUCACCAGUACCUCUUUGGCUAUUCCACCCACUGGCUGAGGAGGUGAGUUGAUAGCCUUGACGCGACCUCUACCUUUUCCUACAACUAGACCAAGGCACUCCACCUGAGUCGAGGCUAAGUAGUUAUGGGUAGCACCCAUGUCUAUCAUUGCCCGAAUGGGAUUGCCAUUCACCUUCAUCUCGACGAACAUUAAGGUCCUCUCUUGUUUAAGAGAGGUCCACUCAUCCGCCUUCUUUUUCCCUUUCUUGUUGAUUGGACAUGGGUCCUUCUUCUUACGGAUACCAGCACUGGUCUCUGCUAAUGCCUCAGAAAUAGAACCAACAAUUGCAUUGAAGGCACCUACUAGUUCAGUCUGAUCCACAUCAUCUGAGUCAUCAUCAGUCCCAUCAUCAAAAGCUUGAUGGGCAUUCAUCUGUGUAUGUGGGCAUUUAUUAUUCCAAUGUGGUUCGCCACAAUGACAACAUCCUGAAGGAGGCUUUCUCCCCCGGUCAUUGUUCUUUGACGCAACACUAUUGCUGCCUGAGGAGGGAGCCUUAGAUUUGGUUGCACUCCGAUCUCCCCCACUUCUGCUAGGGCCACCAUUGCUAGGUUGGCCCCCUUUGAAUCCCGCUUGGCAGGCAGCUGAGGCCUAUCCUUCUGAGCUUCCACUUGAUAAUCCCCAAGGCAUUCAGCUGCUUGGAUCUCCUUGGGUAGGGUAUCUACCCUUUGUUUUUUCAGUUCCAUACGGGCAAAGGUUUCAACCCUUCUAGGAAGGUGAAGAGCUUGUCUUUGUCCCCCAUGUCACGUAUGUUUAGCAUGAGCGCAGAGAAUUCCCGCACGUAGUCUCACACUGAUUUGGUCUGAUAGAGCUCCCGUAGCUUUCUCCUUGCAUUGUAUUCAAUAUUUUCGGGGAAGAACUGUAGGCGUAUGGCUGCCUUCAGUUCUGCCCAUGUCUCAAAAGCAUCUUCACCGGCCUUGAUGGCUUCGUACUUCACUCGCCACUAGAGUUAGCAUCACCCUGAAGAUACAUGGCAGCAGUUGCUACCUUCUUAGCUUCUUUUAGGCCCCCAACAAUAUCGAAGUACUGUUCGAUGUUAAAGAUAAAGUUUUUCACUUCCUUGGUAUUCCUAGAUCCACUAUAUGGCUUUGGCUCAGGAAUUUUCAAUUUUUGUGUCGCGAAAGCGGCGUUCACAGCGCCCUCGAUUUGGUUUCCACCUCCUCGAAGCAGGCCCUGUAAAGCAGCAUUGACAACAUUGAGCUGGUCUAUCAAGUUGUCAAUAGUUUGUUUCAUGGCAGUCACCCUGUCUGCCUCUUGUGCCCUGUAGGCUAAAUGUAGCAACCCCUUUGGGAAGGUGCUACUUAGGAAACAAAUCUAAUUUACUACUUAUAAAAUAUCAAAAAGAUAUUAGUUAAAAAUAUUCAAAAUAAUUUAGUGGCGGAAAUAGGCCUAUACGAAAAGGUUCAAAGUGUAAUUUUUUUUUGAAAAUACACUUUAUAAUUUUAUUUUAAAUGAAAUACAAUGUCAAAAUAUCAACUUAAGGUGAUAUAACCCUUCUUGAACAAUCAACAGAUUAAAGCAACUUCCUAACAAAUUUAUACUUUCAUUCAACAUCACUACAAGUUUGUAUUGUACAUAAAUUUCAAACUAUCGGGUAUAUAAAAAGGAAACUAGUUUUCUCCUUUGUACAUAUUUACAAGACAAAGUGUAAAUUCAGCAUAUUACAAGACUUGAGUUAUUAACACACCCUAAAACAGCAAAACAAUUUACCAAAUUUAAGUUACAAGAUUUUGGUUUUAAAAUCCAACAAGACUCCAAAUAACAUACCUAAAUGUGACACACACACGCACACACACACACAUAUAUAUACAUGUCCUAAAACUAUGCGAAACCAAGGUUCAUAUACAAAUGUGAUCUCCAUAAGUGCUCCCAAAAGACUAAUUCAUAAUGUCCGUCAUCAGAUUUCAUCUUGUACAUUACCUACGAUAGAAAAUAACUAUCACUAAGCAUAAAGCUUAGUGACGUAUAAACUUUGGGCUUGGAGUCAUUAAAUUCUCUAAUUCCCCUUUUCUGUCACAGUUAACUCAAUUUAACGUAAUUUAAAAUAAGUGAACAAAUAUAUCAAACAUAUCAUAUAUCAAACUUUGAAGUGUUUCCAAAUCUCAAUAACAAUGUUCAAGAGUCGAGAAAGCGUAUUCUAUCAAUCCAAGAAAGUUUACCAAAUAUCCAUAUUCCGCCCAAUAUGUACGUCAUACCAUCACAUUAAGCAUAAUCAAAUAUCAAGAUGGACCGAAGCCCCAAAUCAAGUAGGGUCAAAACCCAAUCAUUAAGAGAAUCAAGAACCAUUUAAAUAUGGCUUCCUAGUUCGUACUUAAUACAGACAGGUUCCCUAAUUUAAGACGAACUACAAAUCUAAAGUCAAGAUGACAAAAGAUACAAAUCAAGAGGAAUACCAAGAUGAGUGACAAAGUCACUGUCACAAGAAGGACAAAGUCCCAACAAGAAUGCAAAAUGAUCAAACAAUCCGUACGAAUGUGCGAUUUAGCAAAUAUCUAAUAAUACUUGAUAUAAUACGAAUAUAACAAUAUAAAUUGAAGACAAGAAAGAUAAAUAUUAGGUUAUUUCAAGAUAUUCCAGCAAGCAAAAAGAGUACAAAGUUUAUACACAAAUCUUGGUGUUUUACCACAAAACAGUUCAAUCACAACUUGGGGACGUUCGAAUCGUCUACGCCGUAAACAAAUCAAAUUCGUCCACUUCCUCAAACACUUUCCCUUUGAUUUUUCAAGGGUUUAUAUACCAUAAAUACAUAAUCAAAUAUCUAAAAAAGUUCAAUGAUUUAACAUGUCAAAGUAAACAUGAUAUUGGUGAAAAUUACCCAAAAAUGUUUGAAACAGAAAUUCUGGAUAGUAUCACUAUUUCGUGUUGUGGCUUAGUUUUGAAAAUCUAAACGGACAAACUAGACUAUAUAGUCUUCAUAAAAGUUGUAGAUCUGGGUCUUAUAAUUUCAAAUCAUCUUAAAUCACCCCCAUAUCUAUUUUGUACAGAAAUUUAUGCUAAAAUUACUAACAGUAGUACAUGAAGUAUUUCUAAAAUUAAAAAUCUGGGCAGCACCUGCCGUGUACUUUCUGAUCCCUUUUUGGAUAAAUAACAGCAAAAAUAGAUUUUGGUUCCUUCAUAAGAGUUAUAGAUCUAUGAAAUACCUUUCCAGAAAGUCCUAGAUCACUUAAAUCGGAGCUUUGUCCAAAACGAUAUGUAGAAAAUACUAAUAUCUGUCUAGUGCAAAAACGAGUUUAGAAACUUACCACAAAAGAGAAGAGCAACUUGAUCUUCACCAAAAACGAAUUUUGCUGGUUGAUUUAGUAGAAAUUUAUGGUGGUUUCAUGAAAUUUUUAGAGGCUAAGAAGGAGAGAGGGUAGGUGGUUUUGUUUCUUUGUCUUGCAAGAAUGAAACAAGAGAGAAGGAUAUGGAAAGGCAAGUCUUCCAAAG
rnacentral:lncRNA from 1 species